CGUGAGAUGUUGGGUUAAGUCCCGCAACGAGCGCAACCCUUGCCAUUAGUUGCUACGAAAGGGCACGUCUAAUGGGACUGCCGGUGACAAACCGGAGGAAGGUGGGGAUGACGUCAGGUCAUCAUGGCCCUUAUGGGUAGGGCUACACACGUCAUACAAUGGCCGGUACAGAGGGCUGCCAACCCGCGAGGGGGAGCCAAUCCCAGAAAACCGGUCGUAGUCCGGAUCGUAGUCUGCAACUCGACUGCG
rnacentral:rRNA from 1 species